rnacentral:lncRNA from 1 species
GGAGGGGAAAGGAAAAAACAGAAAAGGGGAAAAAAUGGAAAAUGGCAAAAAAUGAAUUAAAUGGGAAAACAACCCCCCCAAAGGACCCCAAACCGCCCCCACCUCGUCCUUUGCCUGCAGGAGGAACUCGCUGCCGUCCGCCGUCCUAUAGAACAGUGGGUCGCUGGCCACCUCGCUGGUAGCCAUGUGUAGGCCGAGGGGGGGCUCCCCGUUGUGUGUCCCCCCCCCAGACGGACCCUUUGCGUCCCUAUAGAACGCCAACUCCCCCCGGCUCAGCACGCAGUACAGGGCCGGACCCCGAGUCCCACCAGCCCCUCAUUCCAUAGGACCCCCCCCCACCCCAUAACCCCCCCGGCCCCACCCACCUAUUGGACGCCUUCUUGUUGGGCCCAUCCAAUUCGUGUUUGCGGAAGAGGAACCCCUCGUGCUGCACCGUGUGGGUGGGGGGCGGCGGCGGCGGCGGGGGGGGGCACCACCACCACCACCCUGGGCGGGGGCCGACCGCGACCUCCUGCCCUCCCCCGGCCCCCCCGGAACCCC